CCUAAUCACCUCUCCCCAAUGCUUCUUAGGCCUCCCUCUCCCUCGCCGACCACCAACAAUCUCCAACCGCUCGCAGCUCCUCACCGGGGCAUCGGGGGCCCUCCUCCGAACAUGCCCGAACAACCUCAACCUCGCUUCCCGCAUCUUCUCGUCCACCGGGGCCACCCCUACCUUCUGUCGAAUGACUUCAUUCUUGAUCUUAUCCAGCCUGGUGUGCCCACACAUCCACCUAAGCAUCCUCAUCUCCGCAACCUUCAUUCUCUGAACAUGCGAGUUCUUCACGGNNNN
rnacentral:lncRNA from 1 species